GUCCAGACUCCUACGGGAGGCAGCAGUGGGGAAUAUUGCACAAUGGGGGAAACCCUGAUGCAGCGACGCCGCGUGAGCGAUGAAGUAUUUCGGUAUGUAAAGCUCUAUCAGCAGGGAAGAAGAUGACGGUACCUGACUAAGAAGCCCCGGCUAACUACGUGCCAGCAGCCGCGGUAAUACGUAGGGGGCAAGCGUUAUCCGGAUUUACUGGGUGUAAAGGGAGCGUAGACGGCGAUGCAAGCCAGAUGUGAAAGCCCGGGGCUCAACCCCGGGACUGCAUUUGGAACUGUGUGGCUGGAGUGUCGGAGAGGCAGGCGGAAUUCCUAGUGUAGCGGUGAAAUGCGUAGAUAUUAGGAGGAACACCAGUGGCGAAGGCGGCCUGCUGGACGAUGACUGACGUUGAGGCUCGAAAGCGUGGGGAGCAAACAGGAUUAGAUACCCCAGUAAG
rnacentral:rRNA from 1 species